rnacentral:rRNA from 1 species
GGUGCAAAAUAAGGGGUGGGCAAGUCUGGUGUCAGCCGCCGCGGUAAUACCAGCACCCCGAGUGGUCGGGACGAUUAUUGGGCCUAAAGCAUCCGUAGCCUGUUCUGCAAGUCCUCCGUUAAAUCCACCUGCUCAACAGAUGGGCUGCGGAGGAUACUACAGGGCUAGGAGGCGGGAGAGGCAAACGGUACUCAGUGGGUAGGGGUAAAAUCCUCUGAUCCACUGAAGACCACCAGUGGCGAAGGCGGCUUGCCAGAACGCGCUCGACGGUGAGGGAUGAAAGCUGGGGGAGCAAACCGGAUUAGAUACCCGGGUAGUCCCAGCUGUAAACGAUGCAGACUCGGUGAUGGGUUGGCUUCGAGCCAACCCAGUGCCGCAGGGAAGCCGUUAAGUCUGCCGCCUGGGGAGUACGGUCGCAAGACUGAAACUU